UACGUAGGUGGCAAGCGUUGUCCGGAAUUAUUGGGCGUAAAGCGCGCGCAGGCGGUUCUUUAAGUCUGAUGUGAAAGCCCACGGCUCAACCGUGGAGGGUCAUUGGAAACUGGAGAACUUGAGUACAGAAGAGGAAAGCGGAAUUCCACGUGUAGCGGUGAAAUGCGUAGAGAUGUGGAGGAACACCAGUGGCGAAGGCGGCUUUCUGGUCUGUAACUGACGCUGAGGCGCGAAAGCCAGGGGAGCAAACGGG
rnacentral:rRNA from 1 species